rnacentral:lncRNA from 1 species
AGUAGUAAAAUUAAAAUUGCAAAAUAAAUACAGGAUUGAAGAGAAAACUGCGGAUUAUUUGUUCACACAGUGCGCAUUCACCAAAUUUCUUUUAGUGUAGCUAAGAGACGACUUUAACUUCAUAUGGGAUAGGUGGAAGGGUGGGAUAGGUUUGCAGACUAUGAAUAACAAACUAACUGAAGCAGUAAUCUGCUGAUGGGUAGUUUGGAAGGUUAGGAACGAUAUAAUGUUUAGAAAGAUGCAGUCGGGCUCAUUGCUAGCAGUCCACAAGAUUAAGCAGUUUGACAAAGUUUUGGAAACACCUUUUCUCAACAAAGCAGAUCCCCUGCUAACCGGGAUUUUUUUUUUUUUUUUUUUUGGUAAGCCCUCGAGGCCCGAGAUGCAUCAUUUUGUAGUCUAGUUUAUCAUUUCAAUAAAUAAAAUAGAUAGUUUUUUUUUUCUCAAAAAAAUUACAGAAUAAACUAUAAAAAAUAAAAUUUACCGAAAUACAAAUUCAUUCAAUUUUUUUUUU